rnacentral:lncRNA from 1 species
UAAUUCCUUUGUAGUGGCUGUGGCGCCACCUAUUGGAGACUAUGUGCCAUGGCCAAUAUGGCACUGGCCCUUACAGGCCAGGUGCUAAGCCCCACCCUUCUUCCCGGAGUCAAGUUACAACUUCCUACUCCCCUUUAUGUAAUAUCCUGUUACAUUUUCCCACACUCACACCCAAUGCUAGCCUGCUCUGUCAGCUAGCCCACUCCCUAAACCCCACCUCUAGCCUGACCAUAUUUAACCAUUGUCCACAUGACCCUAGAAGAUUCUCUUUCUUGGUCAAUCUUCUCUGUGCCCUUAAGCAAUAAAAGUGUUUUAUUGUUUUACUACUUUCUCUGCACUGCCUGCCGGACACCUUUUAGAGUCCAAAAGCACGAGGUUCUUACUGCUAUCAAUCAGGGAGGUGGGUGGGGGUUGCAGCAGAAUACUAAGGAAGAGAAAGUUUACAGGCAGUAGCUGUAAGGAGAAACAGCAAUUUUGUACCAGGCACAGAGGCUCUCCAAGGAGCAGUGCAACACAUAGCUUGAUGUACGCAAUGUUGGCACCUUUACUGCCAGGAAGUUAUAAUUCUUUCUGAGUCGCAUGGCCUGAACUGAGCUAAUACCUCGCUUCUCAACAGUGGAAUCUCACAGGCUCUUGCUUGAAUCACAUUUCAGCUGUCAACAGGGGGCAGUUCUGACCUUUUGCUAUGCUGAGACUCCAAGGUACCUGGCCUCAGUCACAUUCUUUUGGCCAAUUACAAGAAUAUCUGCUUUUAUACAGCCACACUGCAUAUCACACUGAAUAGGGUUGAAGUAAAGGUCAUGCAAAGAUAGAGGCAAGUGGAUUUGUUUCUCAGGAUGUUCAGCUUGGCUGUCUGUCAUAAUUUUUUAGAGACAAAAUUCUACCCUGUUCAUCAUAGUUCUUUGACUUUCUGAAAGCACCUUGGUUAGAGUCUUGUAUGUACUGGAACAUUUUUUUAUCCAUUACUGGGGAUUAUACUCAGGGCCUAUGCACUGAGAUAGAUAGAUUGUUUUGGAGACAGGGUGCUGCUAAGACACUAAAUUGCUCAGGCUGUGUUGGAACGUGCACUCCUCCUGCCUCAACUUCCCAGAUUGCUAGGAUCUGGGGCAUAUGACACAAUUCCCAGCCAUUUAGAGUGGUACUUUGGUUCAUAAACUGAAUCCCUCCAUGAUUUUGAUUGCAACUGAAUUGCAAGCAAAUGACCCCAUGAUGGUCCUGCUUCUGGGGCUCAGAAAUUAGUCUCUGCUCCCACCAUACAGAACUCAUGCCUUUCCUUUGGAGCAGUCUUACCUUAUCAGUACCACAGGACUGACCCCAAAUCAGAAUGCCAGAUAUUGGCCUGACAAGAAAUACUUCUGUUCCAGAGACAGCACAGCUCUCUGCACCAUCAGGUGUUCCACCAUUGUAGGGAGAGGCCUGUGAGGCACAGCCAGGUACAGUAGGGGAGGCUACUUGGUAAGAAGACAAUCAGAACAACAAAGGGAUCAGCUGAAUCCAGCAUGAAAUAGGGUCAAGGGGUCAAAUCCAUGCCCCUACCAAACAUGCAGGGGUAGCCUCAGCAGCAGAACUGACUAAACAUCUGGUGGCCCAGGUUUCAUCUCUAUUCCUACCCAAGGAAUGUUAGAAUGGGCGUGGCCCAUGCAGGCUCUUUCCUCCUUUUUAUGCUUUCACUACUGACCAGACCUUGUUUGAAUAGACACAAUUUUUUCUGUCAUAUUCCACUCUAAUCUGAUACACAGGGAAGCGAUCUGGUCCUUCUACAUCUCCACUCUGCUCUGUUAUGUAUUUUCAUUUCUUUUUAUUUUUUGAGACAGAGUCUCACAGUGUAGGCCAGGCUGACCCUGAACUCACUAUGCAGCCCAUGCUGGCUUUGAAUUUGUGGCAAUCCUCCUACCUCAGCCUGCCAAAUGCUGGGAUUACAGGUGUGCAUCACCAUACCCAGAUGUAUUAUAUGCUGACCCUGGUGUUUCCCUCCUACAUAUCUGGCUCAUAAAAUGUCUGUUUACCACAUUUUAGUUCUCAGAGAACGGGCCUUAAGAAAUGGACACAAGGGGUUGGGGAUUUAGCUCAGUGACACAGCGCCUGCCUGGCAAGUGC